rnacentral:rRNA from 1 species
CUACGGGAGGCAGCAGUGGGGAAUAUUGCACAAUGGGCGCAAGCCUGAUGCAGCCAUGCCGCGUGUAUGAAGAAGGCCUUCGGGUUGUAAAGUACUUUCAGCGGGGAGGAAGGAAGUAAAGUUAAUACCUUUGCUCAUUAACGUUACCCGCAGAAGAAGCACCGGCUAACUCCGUGCCAGCAGCCGCGGUAAUACGGAGGGUGCAAGCGUUAAUCGGAAUUACUGGGCGUAAAGCGCACGCAGGCGGUUUGUUAAGUCAGAUGUGAAAUCCCCGGGCUCAACCUGGGAACUGCAUCUGAUACUGGCAAGCUUGAGUCUCGUAGAGGGGGGUAGAAUUCCAGGUGUAGCGGUGAAAUGCGUAGAGAUCUGGAGGAAUACCGGUGGCGAAGGCGGCCCCCUGGACGAAGACUGACGCUCAGGUGCGAAAGCGUGGGGAGCAAACAGGGUUAGAUACCCCCGUAGUC